GGGCAACCUGGCUGUGCCAUCUGCCAGCCCACUGCUCUCCAGGGCUGAUUCAGCUGAUCUGGCUGGCAAGGUGGGUGUCCCAACACUCCAUGGGUGUCCCUCCAGAAGCUGAG
rnacentral:snRNA from 1 species